AUUGAACGCUGGCGGCAUGCCUAACACAUGCAAGUCGAACGAGUGGCGGACGGGUGAGUAAUGUCUGGGAAACUGCCCGAUGGAGGGGGCUAACUACUGGAAACGGUAGCUAAUACCGCAUACCAUCAGAUGUGCCCAGAUGGGAUUAGCUGGUUGGUGGGGUAACGGCUCACCAAGGCUACGAUCAGUAGCGGGUCUGAGAGGACGACCCGCCACAUUGGGACUGAUACACGGCCCAGACUCCUACGGGAGGCAGCAGUGGGGAAUUUUGGACAAUGGGGGAAACCCUGAUCCAGCCAUGCCGCGUGUAUGAAGAAGGCCUUCGGGUUGUAAAGUACUUUUGUCAGGGAAGCGGUACCUAAAGAAUAAGCACCGGCUAACUACGUGCCAGCAGCCGCGGUAAUAC
rnacentral:rRNA from 1 species